UACGGAGGGUGCAAGCGUUAAUCGGAAUUACUGGGCGUAAAGCGCACGCAGGCGGGUUUGUAAGUCAGAUGUGAAAUCCCCGGGCUCAACCUGGGAAGUGCAUUUGAGACUGGUAAGCUAGAGUACUUUAGAGGGGGGUGGAAUUCCACGUGUAGCGGUGAAAUGCGUAGAGAUGUGGAGGAACACCGGUGGCGAAGGCGGCCCUCUGGACGGGUACUGACGCUGAGGUGCGAAAGCGUGGGGAGCAAACAGG
rnacentral:rRNA from 1 species